UACGUAGGGUCCAAGCGUUAAUCGGAAUUACUGGGCGUAAAGCGUACGCAGGCGGUUCUGAAAGUCAGCUGUGAAAGCCCCGGGCUUAACCUGGGAAUUGCGGUUGAAACUACAGGGCUAGAAUCUGGCAGAGGGGGGUGGAAUUCCACGUGUAGCAGUGAAAUGCGUAGAGAUGUGGAGGAACACCGAUGGCGAAGGCAGCCCCCUGGGCUGAGAUUGACGCUCAGGCACGAAAGCGUGGGGAGCAAACAGG
rnacentral:rRNA from 1 species